GUUAUCAGCAAGGAGACGCUGGGGAGAUGAAAGCAGUCUCAAUCAACAAACUAUGUUGAUUGAUUAACUGCCGUGCAGGCCAAAAGGGUAUCUCUGAAAAUCCCAGGAUUCCCUAGUUUUGAAUAUGGAUACUCUCUAUGGAUGGCCGUGGGUGGCAGUUUAGGGGCAAUCACCUCAGGCAUUAUCACCUGUUAUCUGGGUUUCCACAAAAAUAAAUCUCCCCUAACAAAGACAAUGGAAGAGACUGAGAGCAGAUGUCCUGAAGGACCGGACAUACUGAAGACAUAUGUUUAGUAUUACAGCUACACGGACCUCACAGGCAGGGAUAUAAUGAUGUUGUCAUGGGCCAUUACGCUUAAGUAUAAAAUAAACCUGCAUCUCACAUUCUCA